GACGAACGCUGGCGGCGUGCUUAACACAUGCAAGUCGAACGAAGAGCGAUGGAAGCUUGCUUCUAUCAAUCUUAGUGGCGAACGGGUGAGUAACGCGUAAUCAACCUGCCCUUCAGAGGGGGACAACAGUUGGAAACGACUGCUAAUACCGCAUACGAUCUAAUCUCGGCAUCGAGGAUAGAUGAAAGGUGGCCUCUACAUGUAAGCUAUCACUGAAGGAGGGGAUUGCGUCUGAUUAGCUAGUUGGAGGGGUAACGGCCCACCAAGGCGAUGAUCAGUAGCCGGUCUGAGAGGAUGAACGGCCACAUUGGGACUGAGACACGGCCCAGACUCCUACGGGAGGCAGCAGUGGGGAAUCUUCCGCAAUGGACGAAAGUCUGACGGAGCAACGCCGCGUGAGCGAUGACGGCCUUCGGGUUGUAAAGCUCUGUUAAUCGGGACGAAAGGCCUCCUUGCGAAUAGUGAGAAGGAUUGACGGUACCGGAAGAGAAAGCCACGGCUAACUACGUG
rnacentral:rRNA from 1 species